UACGAAGGGGGUUAGCGUUGUUCGGAUUUACUGGGCGUAAAGCGCACGUAGGCGGAUCGUUAAGUUAGGGGUGAAAUCCUGGAGCUCAACUCCAGAACUGCCUCUAAUACUGGCGAUCUAGAGUCCGGAAGAGGUGAGUGGAACUCCUAGUGUAGAGGUGGAAUUCGUAGAUAUUAGGAAGAACACCAGUGGCGAAGGCGGCUCACUGGUCCGGUACUGACGCUGAGGUGCGAAAGCGUGGGGAGCAAACAGG
rnacentral:rRNA from 1 species